rnacentral:rRNA from 1 species
GACGAACGCUGGCGGCGUGCUUAACACAUGCCAGUCGAACGGAAAGGCCCUGCUUUUGUGGGGUGCUCGAGUGGCGAACGGGUGAGUAACACGUGAGUAACCUGCCCUUGACUUUGGGAUAACUUCAGGAAACUGGGGCUCAUACCGGAUAGGAGCUCCUGCUGCAUGGUGGGGGUUGGAAAGUUUCGGCGGUUGGGGAUGGACUCGCGGCUUAUCAGCUUGUUGGUGGGGUAGUGGCUUACCAAGGCUUUGACGGGUAGCCGGCCUGAGAGGGUGACCGGCCACAUUGGGACUGAGAUACGGCCCAGACUCCUACGGGAGGCAGCAGUGGGGAAUAUUGCACAAUGGGCGGAAGCCUGAUGCAGCAACGCCGCGUGCGGGAUGACGGCCUUCGGGUUGUAAACCGCUUUCGCCUGUGACGAAGCGUGAGUGACGGUAAUGGGUAAAGAAGCACCGGCUAACUACGUG